AUGCUCACUUCAGCAGCACAUAUACUAAAAUUGGAACAAUACAGGGAAGAUUAGCAUGGCCCCGUGCAAGGAUGACAUGCAAAUAUAUUAAGCAUUCCAUAUUUUU